AUUGAGCGCUGGCGGCAGGCUUAACACAUGCGAGUCGAGCGGAGAGAGGUAGCUUGCUACUGAUCUUAGCGGCGGACGGGUGAGUAAUGCUUAGGAAUCUGCCUAUUAGUGGGGGACAACAUUUCGAAAGGAAUGCUAAUACCGCAUACGUCCUACGGGAGAAAGCAGGGGAUCUUCGGACCUUGCGCUAAUAGAUGAGCCUAAGUCGGAUUAGCUAGUUGGUGGGGUAAAGGCCUACCAAGGCGACGAUCUGUAGCGGGUCUGAGAGGAUGAUCCGCCACACUGGGACUGAGACACGGCCCAGACUCCUACGGGAGGCAGCAGUGGGGAAUAUUGGACAAUGGGCGGAAGCCUGAUCCAGCCAUGCCGCAUGUGUGAAGAAGGCCUUAUGGUUGUAAAGCACUUUAAGCGAGGAGGAGGCUACUUUAGUUAAUACCUAGAGAUAGUGGACGUUACUCGCAGAAUAAGCACCGGCUAACUCUGUGCCAGCAGCCGCCGCCG
rnacentral:rRNA from 1 species